AACUGACGUACGUCGUCUUUGGCUGCGACGUGUCUCGUCAUUGGCCAAGACGUUGUGGGUGGAGCAGAGAGGCGGAGAAACAGAUUUAAACCAAGUUUGAACAGUUACUUCUGUUUGCUAGUACUGUGAGAAAAUCUCGUUACCGAAGACGUCUAAUACAAACUGUGGAGCUGCUUUUUUGUCCAACACGAGUGAGACUGGAUGAACAACACACCUGCUGCUCAAAUGUGUCACCACUUCUUCCACGACAUCGUCCACGGUCGUCAAGACAUCCUCCACAGUAGCUGAGACAUGGUCCAUGAUCGGAGAGACAUUGUUGAGGAUGAGGGAGACAUCGUCCACGAUCAGAGACAUUGUCUAUGAUUGCAGAGACCUUGUCAAAGACGAGAGAGACGUUGUCCAUGGUCAGAGACAUUGUCCCAUGCUUCGUAGAGACCUUGCGAUAGAAUCGGCGGAGACGGGGGUCACCGAUUUGAUGGCAUUGCCCGCGAUCAGGGGCAUUGUCAAUGAUCACAGAGACACCGUCUAUGAUCUCAGAGACAUCGUCCGCAAUCACAAAGACAUUGUCCAUGAUCACAGAGACUUUGUCCAUAAUCUCAGAGACAUUGUCCGCGAUCACAGAGACGUAGUCCACGAUCAAAGAGACAUUCUACACUAUCGCAGCGAGUCUUUGUUCAAUGAAGAAGUUCUUUGACACCAGGACAGAGGCCUCCAGGUGUCACCACUUCUUCCACGACAUCGUCCACGGUCGUCAAGACGUCCUCCACAGUAGCUGAGACAUGGUCCAUGAUCGGAGAGACAUUGUUGAGGAUGAGGGAGACAUCGUCCACGAUCAGAGACAUUGUCUAUGAUUGCAGAGACCUUGUCAAAGACGAGAGAGACGUUGUCCAUGGUCAGAGACAUUGUCCCAUGCUUCGUAGAGACCUUGCGAUAGAAUCGGCGGAGACGGGGGUCACCGAUUUGAUGGCAUUGCCCGCGAUCAGGGGCAUUGUCAAUGAUCACAGAGACACCGUCUAUGAUCUCAGAGACAUCGUCCGCAAUCACAAAGACAUUGUCCAUGAUCACAGAGACUUUGUCCAUAAUCUCAGAGACAUUGUCCGCGAUCACAGAGACGUAGUCCACGAUCAAAGAGACAUUCUACACUAUCGCAGCGAGUCUUUGUUCAAUGAAGAAGUUCUUUGACACCAGGACAGAGGCCUCCAGGUGUCACCACUUCUUCCACGACAUCGUCCACGGUCGUCAAGACGUCCUCCACAGUAGCUGAGACAUGGUCCAUGAUCGGAGAGACAUUGUUGAGGAUGAGGGAGACAUCGUCCACGAUCAGAGACAUUGUCUAUGAUUGCAGAGACCUUGUCAAAGACGAGAGAGACGUUGUCCAUGGUCAGAGACAUUGUCCCAUGCUUCGUAGAGACCUUGCGAUAGAAUCGGCGGAGACGGGGGUCACCGAUUUGAUGGCAUUGCCCGCGAUCAGGGGCAUUGUCAAUGAUCACAGAGACACCGUCUAUGAUCUCAGAGACAUCGUCCGCAAUCACAAAGACAUUGUCCAUGAUCACAGAGACUUUGUCCAUAAUCUCAGAGACAUUGUCCGCGAUCACAGAGACGUAGUCCACGAUCAAAGAGACAUUCUACACUAUCGCAGCGAGUCUUUGUUCAAUGAAGAAGUUCUUUGACACCAGGACAGAGGCCUCCAGGUGUCACCACUUCUUCCACGACAUCGUCCACGGUCGUCAAGACGUCCUCCACAGUAGCUGAGACAUGGUCCAUGAUCGGAGAGACAUUGUUGAGGAUGAGGGAGACAUCGUCCACGAUCAGAGACAUUGUCUAUGAUUGCAGAGACCUUGUCAAAGACGAGAGAGACGUUGUCCAUGGUCAGAGACAUUGUCCCAUGCUUCGUAGAGACCUUGCGAUAGAAUCGGCGGAGACGGGGGUCACCGAUUUGAUGGCAUUGCCCGCGAUCAGGGGCAUUGUCAAUGAUCACAGAGACACCGUCUAUGAUCUCAGAGACAUCGUCCGCAAUCACAAAGACAUUGUCCAUGAUCACAGAGACUUUGUCCAUAAUCUCAGAGACAUUGUCCGCGAUCACAGAGACGUAGUCCACGAUCAAAGAGACAUUCUACACUAUCGCAGCGAGUCUUUGUUCAAUGAAGAAGUUCUUUGACACCAGGACAGAGGCCUCCAGGUGUCACCACUUCUUCCACGACAUCGUCCACGGUCGUCAAGACGUCCUCCACAGUAGCUGAGACAUGGUCCAUGAUCGGAGAGACAUUGUUGAGGAUGAGGGAGACAUCGUCCACGAUCAGAGACAUUGUCUAUGAUUGCAGAGACCUUGUCAAAGACGAGAGAGACGUUGUCCAUGGUCAGAGACAUUGUCCCAUGCUUCGUAGAGACCUUGCGAUAGAAUCGGCGGAGACGGGGGUCACCGAUUUGAUGGCAUUGCCCGCGAUCAGGGGCAUUGUCAAUGAUCACAGAGACACCGUCUAUGAUCUCAGAGACAUCGUCCGCAAUCACAAAGACAUUGUCCAUGAUCACAGAGACUUUGUCCAUAAUCUCAGAGACACUGUCCGCGAUCACAGAGACGUAGUCCACGAUCACACAGAGUCUUCGUACAAUGAAGAUGAUCUUUGAGACCAGGACAGAGGCCUCCAGGUGGAGAAGACUGCAUCACCUGAAGAGGACAAUCAAAGUAGUUAAAUGUUCUUAAAGAUGUUUAGAGAUGUAUAAGAUUUUAAUAAGCAUGUCCUCAUAUGUGCUCACCACUAUAUGAAAUGUUAAGUGAGAGAAUAAAACAAAGAGUCUCCAAGUGGUCAAACAUCUGUCAUUAUCUUUGCUGUGGUUUGUGAAAUGUUGUCUAUAACAGAAUCAAUAACGUUUUGUCACUUAACUUUUGAAAUAAGUGUUUGUAUUUUUGAAUUAAUAUCACAAAAUGAUUUUGUAAUGCAGAAAUGCCAACAAUUCUCUAUUUGCAGCUUGCAAUUAAAAUGUAUAACUGAGGCUGAAAACUCUGAUCUCUGGCUAAAUGCCAAAAACUGUAACCCUAACCCUAACCUCUGGCUACAAAUGGCUAAAAGCCAUAACACUAACCCUAGUAAAUGUAAAUGUAAAAAAAAAACAUAGUACAGUAUGUUGUCCAAGAAGUGAUAAAAAUGCCAUAGUAUAGUAUGGCGUCAGAAAAUGGAUAAAAAAUGUCAUAGUGAAAUAUGGCAUCAGCAAUCUCAUAAAAAUGCCAUAGUAUGUCAUCCAAACAGUCAAAAAAAUGUCAUAUAUAUAGUAAGGCAACAAAUAGUAAGGGAUCAGAAACCAUCAAGGCCAAAUAACCAUAAGGCGUGAAAAAGUGGCCAAAAGCUGUAACCCUAACCUCUGGCUAUAAGUGGCCUCUGGCUAAAAAUAUUCACUUUCAUACAAUAUUAAACAGACGGGCAAAAUAUGUCUCUGUGAUCAUUGACAAUGUCUCUCUGAUCGUUAUUUUUAUAUUGCAGAUUACUUCUAUUGUUACACUUUUCUAAUAUAUUGAACAUAAACCAUUUAAUGUGUUGGACAGUU